UUGCUAGUAAUCGCGAAUCAGAAUGUCGCGGUGAAUACGUUCCCGGGCCUUGUACACACCGCCCGUCACACCAUGAGAGCCGAUAACACCCGAAGCCUGUGAGCUAACCGUAAGGGGGCAGCAGUCGAAGGUGGGGUUGGUGAUUGGGGUGAAGUCGUAACAAGGUAAC
rnacentral:rRNA from 1 species